GAUGAACGCUGGCGGCGUGCCUAAUACAUGCAAGUCAAGCGAACAGACGAGGAACUUGCUCCUCUGACGUUAGCGGCGGACGGGUGAGUAACCCGUGGAUAACCUACCUAUAAGACUGGGAUAACUUCGGGAAACCGGAGCUAAUACCGGCUAAUAUAUUGAACCGCAUAGUUCAAUAGUGAAAGACGGUUUUGCUGUCACUUAUAGAUGGAUCCGCGCCGCAUUAGCUAGUUGGUAAGGUAACGGCUUACCAAGGCAACGAUGCGUAGCCGACCUGAGAGGGUGAGCGGCCACCUUCGAACCGAGACUUGGUCCAUAGUCCUGCGUGAGGCGGCAGGAGGAUUUCUGCCGCAAUCGGCGACGGCCUGACGGAGUAACGUCGCGUGAGUGAUUAACGUCGUCGGAUCGUAUAACUCUGUUAUUAGGGACGUAUAAAUGGGCAAGCAACGACGCACGUCGUGAUGGGAUUUCAGGAGAGAGCCACGGUGAAUUUAGUG
rnacentral:rRNA from 1 species